rnacentral:rRNA from 1 species
CUGGUUGAUCCUGCCAGUAGUCAUAUGCUUGUCUCAAAGAUUAAGCCAUGCAUGUCUAAGUACAAGCCUGAAUAAGGUGAAACCGCGAAUGGCUCAUUAAGUCACACCUAAUGUACCGGAUAGUUCCAAUUACUUGGAUAACUGCGGUAAUUCUGGAGCUAAUACAUGCUUAAAGGCCUCGACUCAAGGAGGGGCGCAUUUAUUAGAUCAAAACCAAACCGCUUGCGGUUUUAUUGGUGAAUCUGAAUAACUCUAUGCUGAUCGUAUGGCUCAACGCCGACGACGUAUCCGUCCAAGGUGUGCCCUAUCAACUGUCGACUGUGGCAUAGACGCCCACAGUGGUUUUGACGGGUAACGGGGAAUUAGGGUUCGAUUCCGGAGAGGGAGCCUGAGAAACGGCUACCACUUCUAAGGAAGGCAGCAGGCACGCAAAUUACCCAAUGGUCGAAGACCGAGGUAGUGACGAAAAAUAACGAUACCGGUCUCUUCCGAGGCCCGGUAAUCGGAAUGAGUACACUUUAAAUCCUUUAACGAGGAACAAUUGGAGGGCAAGUCUGG